rnacentral:rRNA from 1 species
AAAGGAAUAGACGGGGGCCCGCACAAGCAGUGGAGCGUGUGGUUUAAUUCGACGCAACGCGCAGAACCUUACCAGGGCUUGACAUCGUGGUGCCAGACGUAGAAAUACGUAAUUUCGUAGCAAUACGAACACCAUGACAGGUGUUGCAUGGUUGUCGUCAGCUCGUGUCGUGAGAUGUUGGGUUAAGUCCCGCAACGAGCGCAACCCCUAUCCAGUGUUGCCACCGGUUAAAGCCGAGCACUCACUGGAGACUGCCGGAGACGAUCCGGAGGAAGGUGGGGAUGACGUCAAAUCAUCAUGGCCCUUAUGCCCUGGGCCACACACGCGCUACAAUGGCCGGUACAACGGGCAGCGAAGGAGCGAUCCGGAGCGAAUCCCUUAAAGCCGGUCCCAGUUGGAAUCGCAGGCUGAAACUCGCCUGCGUGAACAUGGAAUUGCUAGUAAUCGCGGAUCAGCUACGCCGCGGUGAAUACGUUCCCGGGCCUUGUACACACCGCCCGU